rnacentral:rRNA from 1 species
CCUACGGGAGGCAGCAGUGAGGAAUAUUGGUCAAUGGCCGGAAGGCUGAACCAGCCAUGCCGCGUGAAGGUCAGUGCCCUAUGGGCGUUAAACUUCUUUUGUGCGGGAGCAAUAAUGGUCAAGUGUGCCCAGACGAGAGUACCGUACGAAUAAGCAUCGGCUAACUCCGUGCCAGCAGCCGCGGUAAUACGGGGGAUGCAAGCGUUAUCCGGAUUUUUUGGGUUUAAAGGGUGCGUAGGCGGUGAGGUAAGUCAGCGGUGAAAUGCCCCCUCUCAACGGGGUGAAGUGCCAUUGAUACUGCCUUGCUGGAAUGCGGAUGCCGUAGGAGGAAUGUGUGGUGUAGCGGUGAAAUGCAUAGAGAUCA